UAAGGUGGUUAUUGCGGCGGGGCUCACCUCUUCCCAUCCCGAACAGAGUAGUUAAGCCCGCCUGCGCAGAUGGUACUGCAGUUAUGUGGGAGAGUAUGUCGUCGCCUUUCUUUGAAAAGCCUAUCUGCAAAGAUAGGCUUUUUUU
rnacentral:rRNA from 1 species